CCCUUAGAUGUUCUGGGCCGCACGCGUGCUACACUGAGUGGAUCAGCGGGUCAGGUUGCGCGAAAGCGUUUCCUAAUCUUUAAAUCCGCUCGUGAUGGGGAUUGACGGUUGCAAUUUUCUGUCAUGAACGAGGAAUACCUUGUAAGCGCGGGUCAUCAUCCCGCGCUGAAUACGUCCCUGCCCUUUGUACACACCGCCCGUCGCCCCUACCGAUUGAGUGGUCCGGUGAGGCUUUGGGAUCUGAGCGGAAAGAGCGUUUCGCUGUUUCUGCUCGGAAAACUCAGUCGAACCUUAUCAUUUAGAGGAAGGAGAUGUCGUAACA
rnacentral:rRNA from 1 species